UACAGAGGUCUCAAGCGUUGUUCGGAUUCAUUGGGCGUAAAGGGUGCGUAGGCGGCGCGGUAAGUCGGGUGUGAAAGCCCCGGGCUCAGCCCGGGAAGGGCACUCGAAACUGCCGAGCUGGAGUGCCGGAGGGGAGAGUGGAAUUCCUGGUGUAGCGGUGAAAUGCGUAGAUAUCAGGAGGAAUACCGGUGGCGAAAGCGACUCUCUGGACGGCAACUGACGCUGAGGCACGAAAGCGUGGGGAGCAAACAGG
rnacentral:rRNA from 1 species